rfam:Gossypium raimondii Chr01_contig_147, whole genome shotgun sequence.
UAUUAAAAAUUCCAUCCAUUUCUACUAUUAAAAAUUGAUAUGACUAACGACAUAACCAAACAGUUACACGUGGUGUGCCACGUUUACCUCAUGCCAACGUACAAAGGCUAGUUCUUAAUAAUAGAAAUAGAUAGAAUUUUUAACA